UUCCCUUCGAAGUUUCCCUCAGGAUAGCUGGCGCUCUGUCGCAGUUUUAUCUGGUAAAGCGAAUGAUUAGAGGUCUUGGGGGCGAAACGCCCUCAACCUAUUCUCAAACUUUAAAUUGGUAAGAAGCCCGACUCGCUCGUU
rnacentral:ncRNA from 1 species